rnacentral:rRNA from 1 species
UACGUAGGUGGCAAGCGUUGUCCGGAAUUACUGGGCGUAAAGAGCGCGCAGGCGGCUGGUCAAGUCCGAUGUGAAAGCUCCCGGCUUAACUGGGAAAUUGCAUCGGAAACUGAUCGGCUUGAAGGUGGGGGAGGGUAGUGGAAUUCCCGGUGUAGUGGUGAAAUGCGUAGAUAUCGGGAGGAACACCAGUGGCGAAGGCGACUACCUGGCCCACUCUUGACGCUGAGGCGCGAAAGCUAGGGGAGCGAACGGG